rnacentral:rRNA from 1 species
AAUCUUUCGCAAUGGGCGAAAGCCUGACGCAGCCAUGCCGCGUGAAUGAUGUAGGUCUUAGGAUUGUAAUAUUCUUUCACCGGGGACGAUAAUGACGGUACCCGGAUAAGAAGCUCCGGCUAACUUCGUGCCAGAAACCGCGGUAAUACGAAGGGGGCUAGCGUUGCUCGGAAUUACUGGGCGUAAAGGGCGCGUAGGCGGACAUUUAAGUCAGGAGUGAAAUCCCAGAGCUCAACUCUGGAACUGCGUUUGAUACUGGGUGUCUUGAGUGUGAGAGAGGUAUGUGGAACUCCGAGUGUAGAGGUGAAAUUCGUAGAUAUUCGGAAGAACACCAGUGGCGAAGGCGACAUACUGGCUCAUUACUGACGCUGAGGCGCGAAAGCGUGGGGAGCAAACA